CUCAACCCAGGAAGUGCAUCGGAAACUGGCAGGCUUGAGUACGGGAGAGGGAAGUGGAAUUCCGCGUGUAGGGGUGAAAUCCGUAGAUAUGCGGAGGAACACCAGUGGCGAAGGCGGCUUCCUGGACCGAUACUGACGCUGAGACGCGAAAGCGUGGGGAGCGAACAGGAUUAGAUACCCUGGUAGUCCACGCCGUAAACGAUGGGUACUAGGUGUCGCGGGUAUUGACCCCUGCGGUGCCGAAGCUAACGCAUUAAGUACCCCGCCUGGGGAGUACGGCCGCAAGGCUAAAACUCAAAGGAAUUGACGGGGGCCCGCACAAGCGGUGGAGCAUGUGGUUUAAUUCGACGCAACGCGAAGAACCUUACCUGGGUUUGACAUCCCGGUCGCACGCCAUGGAGACAUGGCGGUCAGUUCGGCUGGACC
rnacentral:rRNA from 1 species